rnacentral:rRNA from 1 species
GACGAACGCUGGCGGCGUGCCUAAUACAUGCAAGUUGAGCGAUGAAGAUUGGUGCUUGCCCCAAUUUGAAGAGCAGCGAACGGGUGAGUAACGCGUGGGGAAUCUGCCUUUGAGCGGGGGACAACAUUUGGAAACGAAUGCUAAUACCGCAUAACAACUUUAAACAUAAGUCUUAAGUUUGAAAGAUGCAAUUGCAUCACUCAAAGAUGAUCCCGCGUUGUAUUAGCUAGUUGGUGAGGUAAAGGCUCACCAAGGCGAUGAUACAUAGCCGACCUGAGAGGGUGAUCGGCCACAUUGGGACUGAGACACGGCCCAAACUCCUACGGGAGGCAGCAGUAGGGAAUCUUCGGCAAUGGACGAAAGUCUGACCGAGCAACGCCGCGUGAGUGAAGAAGGUUUUCGGAUCGUAAAACUCUGUUGGUAGAGAAGAACGUUGGUGAGAGUGGAAAGCUCAUCAAGUGACGGUAACUACCCAGAAAGGGACGGCUAACUACGUG